CUUAGAGUAUUUGACACAAAAUAAUGAGAACCUGAGUGUAAAGAAAAUGUGCAAUAAGGUAUAUGAGAGAAGAGCUGACCCAUGACUGUGAGCAAAAAAGGCACUGAAAGAAGAAGAAAGAACCCAGUAUCCAAGAGGAUGUCCCCACCUCCACCCAACCAGACCACCACACAUAUACAGCAGAGAACAGCCAGAACUUGACUAGAUUUCUGAAGCUGGACAUCCAUGGAAAGAGUGACAUGAAAUCC
rnacentral:lncRNA from 1 species